GACGAACGCUGGCGGCGCGCUUAACACAUGCAAGUCGAACGGAAAGGCCUGCUUUCCCUUGUGGAUUGCGGGUACUCGAGUGGCGAACGGGUGAGUAACACGUGAGUGAUCUGCCCCCAACUUGGGUAUAAGCCUGGGAAACUGGGUCUAAUUCCCGAUAGGACUGCAGGGUGGUGCCUGUGGUGGAAAACGAUUUUCUAGUGGUUGGGGAUGAGCUCGCGGCCUAUCAGCUUGUUGGUGGGGUAAUGGCCUACCAAGGCGGCGACGGGUAGCCGGCCUGGAGGGGUGGCCGGCAAAAUGGGGCCUGGGAUACGGCCAAACUUCUACGGGGGGAAGGCGGUGGGGAUAAGGGAACAAGGGCGGGAGGCUGAAGCCGCGGCCCCGCGUGGGGGGUGACCGCCUUCGGGGUGUAAACUUCCUUCGAACGGGAGGGAGCCACCUGGGUGGGAGGGUGGGUACGGUAAUUGUAAAAGAAGGCCCGGCUAACUUCGUG
rnacentral:rRNA from 1 species